rnacentral:lncRNA from 1 species
UUUUUAGGGUUUCUUGAUAAAAGAAUAUUUUUCUUUUGGUUUAACUUUACAUGGAAGAAAUAAUGUAGCCAAAAUACAAAAUAUUGACCUGUCAAGUGAGAAGUAAUUUAAGGAACUUAUCAGCACACAGAAUAUGUAGUCUUCUCGAAACUGGUAGGAGUGGUGUGGCAAAAACGCAUGCGCAUAUACGACCUCUGUAGAACAACUGAAUCGAGAUAUCUGCAACGAUGGCUAUGUAAUAGGAAAUUUAAAAGCUGU